rnacentral:rRNA from 1 species
ACUCGAGUGGCGAACGGGUGAGUAACACGUGGGUGAUCUGCCCUGCACUUCGGGAUAAGCCUGGGAAACUGGGUCUAAUACCGGAUAGGAGCCAUUUUUAGUGUGAUGGUUGGAAAGUUUUUCGGUGUAGGAUGAGCUCGCGGCCUAUCAGCUUGUUGGUGGGGUAACGGCCUACCAAGGCGGCGACGGGUAGCCGGCCUGAGAGGGUGUACGGCCACAUUGGGACUGAGAUACGGCCCAG